rnacentral:tRNA from 1 species
GGAGAGGUGCCGGAGUGGCCGAACGGGCUGGUUUCGAAAACCAGUGUAGGGGCAACCCUACCGGGGGUUCGAAUCCCCCCCUCUCCGCCA